rnacentral:rRNA from 1 species
UCGUACGCGGACGAACUUUCGGGGUUAAGUAGAGUGGCGAACGGGUUAGUAACGCGUGGGAACAUACACAGCACAGGGGGAUAACCAUUGGAAACGAUGGCUAAUACCGCAUACGCCCUAUUGGGGAAAGAUUUAUCGGUGUUGGAUUGGCCCGCGUUAGAUUAGCUAGUUGGUGGGGUAAUGGCUCACCAAGGCGACGAUUUAUAGCUGGUUUGAGAGGAUGAUCAGCAACACUGGAACUGAGACACGGUCCAGACUCCUACGGGAGGCAGCAGUCGGGAAUAUUGUGCAAUGGGGGCAACCCUGACACAGCCAUGCCGCGUGAGUGAAGAAGGCCUUAGGGUUGUAAAGCUCUUUCAGAUGUGAGGAUGAUGACGAUAGCAUCAGAAGAAGCUCCGGCUAACUUCGUGCCAGCAGCCGCGGUAAUACGAAGGGAGCUAGCGUUGUUCGGAAUUAC